rnacentral:rRNA from 1 species
GGGAUGGGCUCGCGGCCUAUUAGUUAGUUGGUGAGGUAACGGCUCACCAAGGCGAUGACGGGUAGCCGGUCUGAGAGGAUGUCCGGCCACACUGGAACUGAGACACGGUCCAGACACCUACGGGUGGCAGCAGUCGAGAAUCAUUCACAAUGGGGGAAACCCUGAUGGUGCGACGCCGCGUGGGGGAGCGAAGGUCUUCGGAUUGUAAACCCCUGUCAAGUGGGAGCAAAUUAAAAAGAUAGUACCACUAGAGGAAGAGACGGCUAACUCUGUGCCAGCAGCCGCGGUAAUACAGAGGUCUCAAGCGUUGUUCGGAAUCACUGGGCGUAAAGCGUACGUAGGCGGCUUGGUAAGUCGUGUGUGAAAGGCAGGGGCUCAACCUCUGGACUGCACAUGAUACUGCCAGGCUAGAGUAAUGGAGGGGAAACCGGAAUUCUCGGUGUAGCAGUGAAAUGCGUAGAUAUCGAGAGGAACACUCGUGGCGAA